rnacentral:lncRNA from 10 species
AUGCCUGGCCAGGCGCAGUGGCUCAUGCCUGUAAUCCCAGCACUUUGGGAGGCCGAGGCAGGUGGAUUACGAGGUCAGGAGAUCGAGACCAUCCUGGCUAACACGGUGAAACCCCAUCUCUAAUACAAAAAAUUAGCUGGGCGUGGUGGCGGGCGCCUGUAGUCCCAGCUACUCAAGAGGCUGAGGCAGGAGAAUGGCGUGAACCCGGGAGGCGGAGCUUGCAGUGAGCAGAGAUCACACCCCUGCACUCCAGCCUGGGCAACAGAGCGAAACUCUGUCUCAAAAAAAAAAAAAGUUAAAAAAAAAAAAAAAAAAAACUAUGCUUAACACUACUACACAACAUUCAGCUAUAGGCCUUUUGAAAAGAAAAAACAUACCACCAAAACAUCUUUCGGGUUACUCCGUUUGAACUCUGGAAUAUGAUAAACCUGGCUGUUAAUACCUAAAAACAGCACAAAAUGAAAUAUAAAAUUAGUGACUCCAGGCCAGGCAUGGUGGCUCACGCCUGUAAUGCCAGCACUUUGGGAGGCCGAGGCAGGUGGAUCACCUGAGGUCAGGAGUUCAAGACCAGCCUGACCAACAUGGAGAAACCCUGUCUCUACCAAAACUACACAGUGGCAGGCGCCUGUAAUCCCAGCUACUCGGGAGGCUGAGGCAGGAGAAUCGCUUGAACCCAGGAGGUGGAGGUUGCUGUGAGCC